rnacentral:rRNA from 1 species
UACGUAGGGUGCGAGCGUUAAUCGGAAUUACUGGGCGUAAAGCGUGCGCAGGCGGUUUUGCAAGCCGGAUGUGAAAUCCCCGGGCUCAACCUGGGAAUGGCAUUCGGGACUGCAAGGCUGGAGUGCGGCAGAGGAGACUGGAAUUCCUGGUGUAGCAGUGAAAUGCGUAGAUAUCAGGAGGAAUACCGAUGGCGAAGGCAGGUCUCUGGGCCGUUACUGACGCUGAGGAGCGAAAGCGUGGGGAGCGAACAGG